GACGAACGCUGGCGGCGUGCUUAACACAUGCAAGUCGAACGGAAAGGCCCUGCUUUUGUGGGGUGCUCGAGUGGCGAACGGGUGAGUAACACGUGAGUAACCUGCCCUUGACUUUGGGAUAACUUCAGGAAACUGGGGCUAAUACCGGAUAGGAGCUCCUGCUGCAUGGUGGGGGUUGGAAAGUUUCGGCGGUUGGGGAUGGACUCGCGGCUUAUCAGCUUGUUGGUGGGGUAGUGGCUUACCAAGGCUUUGACGGGUAGCCGGCCUGAGAGGGUGACCGGCCACAUUGGGACUGAGAUACGGCCCAGAUUCCUACGGGAGGCAGCAGUGGGGAAUAUUGCACAAUGGGCGGAGGCCGGAUGCAGCAACGCGGCGUGCGGGAUGACGGCCUCGGGUUGUAAACCGCUUUCGCCUGUGACGAAGCGUGAGUGACGGUAAUGGGUAAAGAAGCACCGGCUAACUACGUG
rnacentral:rRNA from 1 species